UUUCAUUUCUUCUCAGCCCCCCCCCCCCCGCCGCGCCCGCCCCUUUUACAAGACUGUCACUUUCUGGUGCAUUAUUCACGGUUUUAAAAAGUUUCUAAGUCCAGGAUCUGGUUUUUCGUCUCCCCGCCCGGCAAAGACCAGCUGAAGGAAGAGCCCUGCACUCUGGGGCCGAGAAGGGCAACUUUGAUCAAAGGAACAAAAACUAUGCAUUGAAUCAGAAGACCUGAAUUUCCAUCCUGGCUCUGCCAUUUCCUAAUUAUGACCUUAGGUGACUUUUUCAAGCCUUAGCUUCUUCAUCUAUAAAAUGGAAUUAAUUAUA